CCCGCAACGAGCGCAACCCUUGUCACUAGUUGCCAUCAUUGGUUGGGCACUCUAGUGAGACUGCCGGUGACAAACCGGAGAAGGUGGGGAUGACGUCAAGUCCUCAUGGCCCUUAUGGGUAGGCUUCACACGUCAUACAAUGGUCGGUACAGAGGGUUGCCAAGCCGCGAGGUGGAGCCAAUCCCUUAAAGCCGAUCGUAGUCCGGAUCGUAGUCUGCAACUCGACUACGUGAAGUCGGGAUCGCUAGUAAUCGCAGAUCAGCAUGCUGCGGUGAAUACGUUCCCGGGUCUU
rnacentral:rRNA from 1 species